CCAUUUACUAUUAUUUUAAUUUGAAAAAGCAGACUAAUAUAUACAAUUCAAAUGAAAUAGAAAUAAGAAAAUGAGGGUAAAUAAAAGCCAGCAACUCACACCUUUCCAAGAUAUAUCUUGUAUUUCUGAUCGAAGUAGCUGUUAAAGAUUCUACAUGUAUAUCAUCAUGUUGACGAUAGUGGGUAAUCACUCGAACAACUCAUGUUUUCAAAUGUUCAAUAAAGGGCAUUCACUCUUAUACAGAGUUAUCACAUUGAUUAAGUUAUAUCAACUUUUUUUUAAAAUGUUUCCAAUUCCUUUUUUAUGUUAUAAGUUUCAUAAAAGGUU
rnacentral:lncRNA from 1 species